GGAAGCGUGGCCGAGUGGUUGAAGGCGCACGACUCGAAAUCGUGUGGGCCCUCGCGGGUCUCGGAGGUUCGAAUCCUCUCGCUUCCGCCA
rnacentral:tRNA from 1 species